CGCAAUAUAAAAGUUGUGACCACGCCUAAACUUCGCAACUACAGUGUCUGGUACAAGUGAGGGACGGGCAGAUUUGCCCCGGGGUAGGGGGAUAACGGUUUGGAUAUACUAAUGGGUGAUGAUUGAGAGCGGCUGAUGGAACUACACAGAACAUGAUCCGUCCCUGAUGUUUAUCCGCGGGAAAAACCCACCAGUUCAGGCCAAGGUCAGAGGUCAGGUCAUACGACAGGAAAACAAUGAUCCCACGAUGGGAAAAACAACGACAGUAAAACUACAAACAUUUCGGAUUUUCCGCCUUUUAUUGUGGCAACAUACGGGCGAGACCGAUCCGGUUUCGACAUGAUUCGGUUCGUUCUACCCAAAGAAAAUAAAACAACUUUCUUUGCUGUGAGACUUUGGCUGGAAAGAAACAGGUUUCGUUUUCAGAAUGAGUUUUUACAGAAAUAACACAAACACUAAACUAUGUUCGGUUUGUUUGUUUGUGAAACGCUGAGAUCCAAGUAGAGGCGAUGUCUCUGCUCUGAAAAAUUAACUGGCAGAAUCUGUGAACAUUAGAUAUUUAAAACAAACAAAUCGGUAAAUGUCAAACUUGAAAAUAUAUACCUCUCAAAAACGAACGAAGCAUCUUACAAGAAAGAACCUAUUUCACAGUGAGCAUGAUCUGCUGGAACUGUCAUGGUGACGACUGUUCAUAAGAUUGUGUCAUCAGCGUAAAUGACUCAGUCAACCAGUUUCAAGAUGCAGAGGAAAACUGUUUGUUUACUUUACAGAUUGUGAACGACUGGGAGCCUCGCUUUGCAAUACCUUCUCAUCUACAAACAGUAAAGUGGGGUUUUAUGUCUAAAAUCCAUGGAAUGUAGCAUUGUUCACCUGAUUAUCCUAGAAAUCAUUUUUAGUAGCACUACAGUAAUAUUUACGGGUUAAACUUCUUGAAUGUGUUCCGCUUUAUGAUUCAUAUAUUUCCACAUUUCGAAUCAUCUAUGAAAACCCUAACCAUUG